AAUCAACGCUGGCGGCGUGCCUCAGACAUGCAAGUCGAACGAUUAAACUUUCCUUCGGGAAAGAUAUAAAGUGGCGCACGGGUGAGUAACACGUAAGUAAUCUGCCUUCGAGUGGGGAAUACCUUCGGGAAACCGAAGAUAAUACCGCAUAAUGCAGCGGCACCGCAAGGUGACAGUUGUUAAAGGAGCAAUCCGCCUGAAGAGGAGCUUGCGGCAGAUUAGCUAGNGGUAAGGUAACGGCUUACCAAGGCUACGAUCUGUAUCCGGUCUUAGAGGACGGUCGGACACACUGACACUGAAUAACGGGUCAGACUCCUACGGGAGGCAGCAGUCGGGAAUUUUGGCAAUGGGCGAAAGCCUGACCCAGCAACGCCGCGUGAAGGAUGAAGUAUUUCGGUAUGUAAACUUCGAAAGAAUGGGAAGAAUCAAUGACGGUACCAUUUAUAAGGUCCGGCUAACUACGUGCCAGCCGCCGCCGUAAG
rnacentral:rRNA from 1 species